rnacentral:rRNA from 1 species
UACGUAGGGCGCAAGCGUUAUCCGGAAUUAUUGGGCGUAAAGAGCUCGUAGGCGGUUCGUCGCGUCGGCUGUGAAAUCCCGAGGCUCAACCUCGGGUCUGCAGUCGAUACGGGCGGACUGGAGUUCGGCAGGGGAGACUGGAAUUCCUGGUGUAGCGGUGAAAUGCGCAGAUAUCAGGAGGAACACCGGUGGCGAAGGCGGGUCUCUGGGCCGAUGACUGACGCUGAGGAGCGAAAGCGUGGGAGCGAACAGG